rnacentral:rRNA from 1 species
CCUACGGGGGGCUGCAGUCGAGAAUCUUCGGCAAUGGGCGAAAGCCUGACCGAGCGACGCCGCGUGCGGGAUGAAGGCCCUCGGGUUGUAAACCGCUGUCAGUGGGGAGGAAGGCUCUGUGAAGAGCAGGGUUUGACCUAUCCGCAGAGGAAGUCCGGGCUAAGUUCGUGCCAGCAGCCGCGGUAACACGAACCGGACAAACGUUAUUCGGAAUCACUGGGCUUAAUGGGUGCGUAGACGGCUUGGCAGGGAAAUCCCUCGGCUCAACCGAGGAAUUGCGCUCAAAACUGUUGGGCUAGAGGGAGUUAGAGGUAAGCGGAACUUAGGGUGGAGCGGUGAAAUGCGUUGAUAUCCUAAGGAACACCAGUGGCGAAAGCGGCUUACUGGAGCUCUUCUGACGCUGAGGCACGAAAGCUAGGGGAGCGAACGGGAUUAGAUACCCUAGUAGUC